rnacentral:misc_RNA from 1 species
GAAAUGCGAUAAGUAAUGUGAAUUGCAGAAUUCAGUGAAUCAUCGAAUCUUUGAACGCACAUUGCGCCCCUUGGUAUUCCGAGGGGCAUGCCUGUUCGAGCGUCAUUACACCACUCAAGCUAUGCUUGGUAUUGGGUGCCGUCCUUAGUUGGGCGCGCCUUAAAGACCUCGGCGAGGCCUCACUGGCUUUAGGCGUAGUAGAAUUUAUUCGAACGUCUGUCAAAGGAGAGGACUUCUGCCGACUGAAACCUUUUAUUUUUCUAGGUUGACCUCGGAUCAGGUAGGGAUACCCGCUGAACUUAAGC